rnacentral:rRNA from 1 species
UUUUAAAAUAUUUUUAUUUUGUUGGAUCUAGGACGCGUAAUGAUUAAUAGGGGUAGUCGGGGGCGUCAGUAUUCAGCUGUAGAAGAGAAAUUCUUGGAUUUGCUGAAGACUAACUACUGCGAAAGCAUUCGCAAAGGAUGUUUUCAUUAAUCAGGGAACGAAAGUUAGGGGAUCGAAGACGAUCAGAUACCGUCGUAGUCUUAACCAUAAACUAUGCCGACUAGGGAUCGGACGGUUUUCAAUGAUGACCCGUUCGGCACCUUACGAGAAAUCAAAGUUUUUGGGUUCUGGGGGGAGUAUGGCCGCAAGGCGGAAACUUAAAGAAAUUGACGGAAGGGCACCACAAGGCGUGGAGCCUGCGGUUUAAUUUGACUCACCACGGGGAAACUCACCAGGUCCAGACAAAAUAAGGAUUGACAGAUUGAAAGCUCUUUCUUGAUCUUUUGGAUGGGGGGGGCAUGGCCGUUCCCUAGUUGGUGGAAUGGAUUUGGUCUGCCUUAAUUUGCGAUAAACGAACGAGACCUUCGGCCCCUUUAAAUAGCCCCGGCCCGCAUUUUGCGGGCCCGGUGGGCUUCUUUAAGGGGGACUUAUCGGGCUCCAGGCCGGAGGGAAGUGCGCGGCAAUAAACAGGGCCUGUGGUUGCCCCUUUAGAUGGUUCUGGGGCGGCCCGCCCGCCUACACUGACAGGGCCCAGCGAGUACCUUCACCUUGGCCGGAGAGGCCUGGGGUAAAUCUUUGUUAAACCCCUUGCCGUGGUUGGAGAAAAGACCUUUUGCAAUAAAGG